rfam:TPA: Bos taurus chromosome 8, whole genome shotgun sequence.
UGGCUCAGAUGGUAAAGCGUCUGCCUACAAUGCAGGAGACCCGGGUUCGAUCCCUGG